CUCGUCCCCCUCAGAUGAUGAAAGUUCACUCGUCACAGGUGGCGCCGCGGCGUCUUUGAAGCCGUCCGCGUGGAGAUCCUGCACGCCCUGCGAGGUGUAGUCUGAUGUAAUUCUUCCUCCAGCAGCGACAUUUUCUCAGCAGUGGCCUUCUAAUUCAAUUGCUCCUCUGUAUAGUCCAGUCUGCCUUUGGAAAAUGCUGCAGUGUAAGGCUCUGGCCGACUGCAGGGAACAGUCGUGGCUCAAACCGAAGGACACUUUGACAUGCACAGAAGUGGAUCAUUCGUCUUUUCUUUUUUAAAACGAGAUUAAAUGGACGUGUUCAGC